CAAUACCUACAGGAAGCCCCACAUUUCUCUGUGGUGGCACCACUCAGAUGAACUGCCAAGGACAGACCAGCACUUGAGCAAUUAGCAGUGGCAAAUUAAAAGCUCAGCAAACCUCACACCUCUGGUCUCAGCCACUAACACCUUACUAAGUCCCCUCCUGAGUGUGGAUCACAUCAUUUUCUAACCCACCAAACAGGACGAGAUUCCCACAGCUUCAGAGUCUGAGUACUCAAAAAUGUUUGAGUUCUACCUAAAACAUCACAAUCUUCAGUGUGGGGAAAAAAAAAAUGGGGAAGAAAAACAAAAAAACAAAAAACAAAAACAUCUCCUCUCCCAAACCACCCUCAGGUUCCCUAAGUACUUCCUAGAUUUCUUGUUUGCAGAAACUUCUCCUCUUCCUGUCUCUCUGCUUACUAAAGGCGUGGGGAUCGGUAACACCCAGACACACCUGACCGAGUGCUCUACUUACACCUCUCCAUUGUACCCCCACCUCUUUCUGCAUCUCCCACAAGUUGCUGCCAAGGUGGCUGCUCAGUCCCCGGAGGCUGGGCUGGGUCCUGUCCCCUUUAGCGAGGAUUGUGGCAGCCGGUGUCCCUGCAGGGAAGUCAGCCUGUGCUGGCUGAGGAUAGAAGAUGAGGAAAGUCUGAAUGCUUAAGCAGCCAACCCAAGGCCCCUUAGAACCUGCUUCCCUUUCUACAGCACUAAUAGGGCCCUGAGGGCAUUAGUGUGCUUUAAUUGCCCUGAGCGACCUCACCUGGGACCUCCUCCCACCUCCUCUGAACGUGGCCCCUGAGCUCUGCUUAAAGUCAGGCCUGAGCACCCAGUCAUGGUGUGAGCAGCUGGGUUUGUCUUCAGUUCUGCCUCCAGCUUUAUUUCUCGGCUGUGUCUCAGACCUAGAUUGUAGGUGACUUCCCCAGUCUUAUAUCAUCCAUGCACAUCUGGUGAUUACCUACGGGUCCUGCCAUCAGCACCCUGCCCUGGCCCAGCUCCCUGGACAGCGAGGGCACUGCCUGGGCUGCAGCAGCCCCACUCCCACUGCUCCCUACACGGCGAGAUGUUUCUGACCAUGCCUGGGGAGUUCCUCAGCAUUUCCUUAAGGAGCAGCUGCGUUGGUGCUUCUUGUCCUUGCCAGUUCUUGUGAACUUGUUCUUUCUCAGCUCCUGGCUGGCUGUGGUACACUACAAGCUUGGGCUGGAGAAACUGCUAGUUUGGUGACCCCAGUGUCUUCUUGUGAGGCCGUAGCUGAAAAAGUUCUCAUCUGUCUGCUGGUGUGCAAGGUGGCUCUAAAGCUUACUCCUGAUACAAGAACCACAACCUGCUGCAAGGAUGGAGAGGAUGGUGGCAUCUGCCAGCAGCUAACCAUGGGAGAUGGAGCAUGCCAAGGAGUCACAGCCCAGCUAAGAUCCACAGGGAUGCCAACACAGGGCGUCCAUCAGAAAUAGAAAAGCCUGCUAAGCUGGUAACAUCCAGCAACUGCUCGAAUUCUCGGAAAAUCCACUUGGAUUCUUGGGCUUGAGUUAUUGGCCCUGCCACUUGGACAGCCCAGGUUUGACUGUUGAGCUUAAACACCACUUCUUAUGCGUGACAGCUGGAGUACAAAAAUAAGCAUGUAUUUCUGCUCAAAAACAAAUUGGUGGCUGCUGACUGGCUUUGGUGAGAGAAUAAUAUGGGAAAGAUGAAAAGGUGGUGGAUGUGUUGGGGAAAUGGCAGGUAUUGUGCAUUAAUUUUAGAGAAGCAUGACAAGGAGAUGGGGCAAGAGCUAGCUUGGAGUUUGGAGUGGGAUGGAGUAUAAACUGUUCUAGCUGGUUCAUCCUUUAUGCAUUGAAACAAGGUUUUCUAUGUUCUUAGUCUUCCAUUUGAAAAAGAAAAGAAGACUAGAAACUGAGGCUACAAUCAAUUAAAUAAAUAAAUAAAAAGAGUAUUCCAAAGGACAAAAUGUUUGCAGGUCACUGGAGACUGUUUAAAGAGUAAAUGUGUGCCACCAAGCCCAAAAAGACUUGGAGAGGGAGGAGAACUGGGUUAAGGCAGUCAUUAGAUGCUAGAAAAAAAGCCUUGAAUAAACUGAAUUUACAUCCAAAUGGGCAGGCAAUAUAAGGGACAACAAACUUGUUUGCGAACAUCAGGGGGUGGGGGAAGUGUGCUAGAAGGCUUUUAAGAUCAAAGCAUAAAAUGAGUCUUCCAAGAUAAGGCUAUCAGAAGUUAGAUACUGAUAUUUAUAAGCAUCACAAAAGAGCCUAAGAGCUUCCUACCCUGGGAGCUUUUGCCGCUGGGAACUCAGAUUUGACUGAAGCUGAGAUGCAGGUAGAAGAAGUUUCAAAACAGUAAUGAGUGUGUGAAUUAAUCGGAUUAUGUCCCCAUGUUCAAACAAAAACCCUGAAGGAGUAAAAGAUGAAACAGCUGGAAUAAGUUCUUACUCAGAACUGUUUCAGUACUGGAGGACAGGAAAGUGGCCAAUAUGCCAACAAAUUUUCAAAGGGUUCCCAGUGACAUCUGUGGAGCCAUAGGAUCAGUGCUUUCCUGUAGAGUAGGUAGAAUUACAAUAAAAAGAGAGUGGCAAUGCUCAACUGUAUAGGAAAACGUGACAUUGUAGCAGCAGCAUAGCAGAUGUCAGCAUGAGAUCUUGGUGGAGAUGAUCUUGUUCCGAGUUAGAACUCUUCUUUUCCACACCCACAGGCAGGUACCAAGGAGAUGUCCUUGGUCUGGU